rnacentral:lncRNA from 1 species
GUCACUGCCAUCAUCCCUCAGACUUCCCACUGCUACUGCUGACUUCUGCCUGUUGGUGUCUGUAUCUUUCUGAGGGCCUCUUCCCAGAACAAGAUAGGCUGUUGCCUGUCAGACUGAAAUGCCAGGACAUUGACUGUCCCAAACCCCUGAGUCCUAGGAGUUGGCGGAGACAAGAGGGACCUCUGCUAACAAGUGAACUGCCAGAAACAGAAUCUACUAGCCAACCUGAAGUUGGCAGCAGACACAUGAGAGAAUCCAGCUGAGAUCAGAACACACAAACAGUCGUGCCCACCCUGAAAGGCUGAGCUACCAAAUCAGAGGUGAUUGUUUCUAAAGAGGUUAUGAUGGUGGUUGUUUUUAAGGCACGAAAUUCUGGGGAGCUCUGUUGCACAGCAAUACUCAUAUGCUGGUGUUGGGGUGCACGUUGCUGGGCAGCUUCCCAGUCAUAUUUCCUUAUUCUUUACCUUUGUUUCCUACAUGUUCCACAUAAAGUGUCUGCGCUCAAAUCUUUGGUUCAGGGCCUGCUUCUUGAGGAACUCAAACUCAGACCUUGUGAAGUGCUUCCUCUCUUGAACUCCUUCAUGCUGCCAUCAUUAUGAUGCUUGGAGGGAAUCACAAUGACUUGCCUGCAUGUGUGCCUCCCACCUGAACUGAGAGGCUCAUGAUGCAGUAUUGUGGCCUAGUUUACUCACUAGGCCAGGAACAUCUACAGCAAGUAUCCCACCAGUAUUUGUCUAACAGUAGUAUACCAGCAUCAUGUCACCUCUUGUCAGGCCUCAUCCCACACUCAGCCAAGUACCUACUACAGGAGGCCACCUACAUGUCCUUCACCCUUGAUGUCCUUCUGAAGACACAAGCUCCUCCACCUGGUGGGUACUCAGCUCCCUCUUGUCACAGCAGCUUACACUACCACGUAUCUGGUCAUCAGAGACAUCUUCCCAUUACCACUUCAACUUCAUUCAGUGAGGUCACACUCCAUAUGAGAAGUAAGUUCUACAGACAACAUGAAAGGCAAAAACUGUGUUCAAAUUUCCCUAGUGAAGCCCUUGGGAAGACAUCAUGGUGGAGGUCAACAAAGCAUCUCUUGAAAGUGCAGCUCUGCCAAGGGUGCUCCUGUGCUGAAACAAAUAGCAGCUGCUCCACAAACACAAAUUGAGGAAGAUGGAAUUGCAACAAAGAGUAAAACAGCCCUCAAAACUGUAAGACAUCAGGAGGAGAGACAGACUGCCCCGCUCUUUACCUGCUGUAGUAGAUCUUAUUAUUGGUCCAAAUUUGUUACUCCUCCCUAUAUUCAUACCUUUUGCUGGGAGACUUUGUAGUUCUCUCUCACUAAAGGGGCAGAAAAUACUCUCCUGUGCCUUGAUUUGGGUUUGGCCACAUAUGUGACUUGCCAUGGCCAAUACAAUAAGGCUGAAGUCAGUACCCCAGUUCUGAGUCUAGGCUGAGGAGCCAUUUCAGGUUUAUGUUUGUCCUCAUGUACCUUCACCAUGCUGUGAGAACAUGCUCAUGCUAACCCACUGGUUUCAGAGGGACAAUUAAAGACAUAUGCAGCAAAGCUAAACUGGGCCACCCAAGCCUAGCGUCUUCCCUCCACUGAACCCAGAUGCAUGAAUAAGUCAGCCAAGAUCCAGUGGAAUCCAGCCAACCCUCAGCUGACCUGUAGAUCCAUAACAAUAGAUGAUGGCUAAUUAUGCCACUGCAUUUUGGGGUAAUUCAUUAUGCAGCAUUUGAAGGGAGGGCAAUAGCUAGGUGAUACAUGUGAGAGUCCUGGUCUUGGCCACCACACUAAUUAUUCUGGCAUUAUCAAUUACUGAGUUCACAGAGAAGAUCUGGUUCUGACUAUGCUCUUGAAAGGUGAAGCUAGAACAGUCGAGGUGGCUUUAGCCAUAAGUUGCUUUACUGACCACAAGCCUUGAGUUUUACAACUUAAUACACAAAAAGUGCAGUUCAAUAGAGACAGAUUUGACCAUCAACUAAUGGGCGGCAAGAGUAUCAAGACUUUCCCAACUUAAUAUUUAAUCUUGGCUCAAGUAAGUGUUUUUCUACCACAUGAAGCUUUCUAUGAUCCAAAAUAAAUUUCCAGGAAAAUAAAUUUACAAUUUGCCUCAAGAUAAAUCAAAUCCAUAUAUUUUCAUUUCUUGCUGCUUUUUUUUCCUAAAGAACAUUUUGGAAGAUCUACUUAAAAUUAAAAUUAACAAGCUAGUAAUUUAUGGAAUGUCAUUAGAAUUGGUUUCUCUAAUUAUCCCAGGAGAACCUUCUUCCUAAUGUUAAAUAAUUCUAUUAUCUACUUCAUGGCCUUAAAGUAAUAUUCUAAGAAUGGCAAAACAUGUGCUACUUAAAUCUANNNNNNNNNNNNNNNNNNNNNNNNNNNAAAGCUAUUUAAUAUUUAAGUGGUUUACAGGAGUAUAUGUAGGGGGGUGAGGUGUACAUCAACUUCCUCUAAUAAAUUUAAAUAGAAGAAAAAGAAUCAUGGGGUUGGGGAUUUAGCUCAGUGGCACCGUUGCCUGCCUUGCAAUUGCAAGGCCCUGAGUUCGAUCCCUGGUACCGGAAAAAAGAAAAGAAAAGAAAAAGAAUCAUAGUA